rnacentral:rRNA from 1 species
UACGUAGGUGGCAAGCGUUAUCCGGAAUUAUUGGGCGUAAAGAGCGCGCAGGUGGUUGAUUAAGUCUGAUGUGAAAGCCCACGGCUUAACCGUGGAGGGUCAUUGGAAACUGGGUCACUUGAAUAUAGAAGAGGAAAGUGGAAUUCCAUGUGUAGCGGUGAAAUGCGUAGAUAUCAGGAGGAACACCAGUGGCGAAGGCGAUUCUAUGGACUGUAACUGACGCUGAGGCUCGAAAGCGUGGGGAGGCAAACAGGAUUAGAUA